UGGAGAUCAUUCCUGGUUGUGUGGUUCUUGAAUCUGGUACUGGAAGUGGAUCUUUGACAACUUCGCUUGCAAGGGCUGUUGCCCCCACUGGCCAUGUUUAUACCUUCGAUUUCCAUGAACAGAGAGCUGCCUCAGCUAGGGAGGACUUUGAAAAAACAGGGUUGAGCAGUCUGGUCACAGUAGGAGUAAGAGAUAUACAGGGCGAGGGAUUCCCUGAUGAGUUUUGUGGGAGAGCAGAUUCAGUAUUCCUAGACCUUCCUCAACCUUGGCUUGUCAUUCCUUCUGCUGGCAAAAUGUUGAAACCAGAUGGGGUAUUGUGCUCCUUCUCUCCAUGCAUUGAGCAAGUA
rnacentral:misc_RNA from 1 species